rnacentral:rRNA from 1 species
GACGAACGCUGGCGGCGUGCUUAACACAUGCAAGUCGAACGGAAAGGCCCUGCUUUUGUGGGGUGCUCGAGUGGCGAACGGGUGAGUAACACAUGAGUAACCUGCCCUUGACUUUGGGAUAACUUCAGGAAACUGGGGCUAAUACCGGAUAGGAGCUCCUGCUGCAUGGUGGGGGUUGGAAAGUUUCGGCGGUUGGGGAUGGACUCGCGGCUUAUCAGCUUGUUGGUGGGGUAGUGGCUUACCAAGGCGUUGACGGGUAGCCGGCCUGAGAGGGUGACCGGCCACAUUGGGACUGAGAUACGGCCCAGACUCCUACGGGAGGCAGCAGUGGGGAAUAUUGCACAAUGGGCGGAAGCCUGAUGCAGCAACGCCGCGUGCGGGAUGACGGCCUUCGGGUUGUAAACCGCUUUCGCCUGUGACGAAGCGUGAGUGACGGUAAUGGGUAAAGAAGCACCGGCUAACUACGUG